rnacentral:rRNA from 1 species
CCUACGGGAGGCAGCAGUAGGGAAUCUUCCGCAAUGGACGAAAGUCUGACGGAGCAACGCCGCGUGAGUGACGAAGGUUUUCGGAUCGUAAAACUCUGUUGUGAGGGAAGAACAAGUGCCAACUAACUACUGGCACCUUGACGGUACCUCACCAGAAAGCCACGGCUAACUACGUGCCAGCAGCCGCGGUAAUACGUAGGUGGCAAGCGUUGUCCGGAAUUAUUGGGCGUAAAGCGCGCGCAGGCGGUCCUUUAAGUCUGAUGUGAAAGCCCACGGCUCAACCGUGGAGGGUCAUUGGAAACUGGAGGACUUGAGUGCAGAAGAGGAAAGUGGAAUUCCAUGUGUAGCGGUGAAAUGCGUAGAGAUGUGGAGGAACACCAGUGGCGAAGGCGACUUUCUGGUCUGUAACUGACGCUGAGGCGCGAAAGCGUGGGGAGCAAACAGGAUUAGAUACCCUGGUAGUCCACGCCGUAAACGAUGAGUGCUAAGUGUUAGGGGGUUUCCGCCCCUUAGUGCUGCAGCUAACGCAUUAAGCACUCCGCCUGGGGAGUACGGCCGCAAGGCUGAAACUCAAAUGAAUUGACGGGG